GACGAACGCUGGCGGCGUGCUUAACACAUGCAAGUCGAACGGAAAGGCCCUGCUUUUGUGGGGUGCUCGAGUGGCGAACGGGUGAGUAACACGUGAGUAACCUGCCCUUGACUUUGGGAUAACUUCAGGAAACUUGGGCUAAUACCGGAUAGGAGCUCCUGCUGCAUGGUGGGGGUUGGAAAGUUUCGGCGGUUGGGGAUGGACUCGCGGCUUAUCAGCUUGUUGGUGGGGUAGUGGCUUACCAAGGCUUUGACGGGUAGCCGGCCUGAGAGGGUGACCGGCCACAUUGGGACUGAGAUACGGCCCAGACUCCUACGGGAGGCAGCAGUGGGGAAUAUUGCACAAUGGGCGGAAGCCUGAUGCAGCAACGCCGCGUGCGGGAUGACGGCCUUCGGGUUGUAAACCGCUUUCGCCUGUGACGAAGCGUGAGUGAAGGUAAUGGGUAAAGAAGCACCGGCUAACUACGUG
rnacentral:rRNA from 1 species